CCUACGGGGGGCAGCAGUGGGGAAUAUUGCACAAUGGGCGAAAGCCUGAUGCAGCAACGCCGCGUGAGCGAAGAAGGACUUCGGGUCGUAAAGCUCUGUCCUCAAGGAAGAUAAUGACGGUACGUGAGGAGGAAGCCCCGGCUAACUACGUGCCAGCAGCCGCGGUAAUAGGUAGGGGGCUGGCGUUAUCCGGAAUUACUGGGCGAAAAGGGUGCGUAGGUGGUUUCUUAAGUCAGAGGUGAAAGGCUACGGCUAAACCGUAGUAAGCCUUUGAAACUGGGAAACUUGAGUGCAGGAGAGGAGAGUGGAAUUCGUAGUGUAGCGGUGAAAUGCGUAGAUAUUAGGAGGAACACCAGUUGCGAAGGCGGCUCUCUGGACUGUAACUGACACUGAGGCACGAAAGCGUGGGGAGCAAACAGGAUUAGAUACCCCUGUAGUC
rnacentral:rRNA from 1 species